GGGCAAAUCCCAGGGAGGCAAAGGCAGAUUCAUAUUUUCUUUUCCUUGCAAUCUGUUACACACUAUUGUUUUUUGACACACUUUGCUUCACACGGCAGUGGUGAUGGUGGAAACUAAGGCCGAGAGCAAGGAGACGCGGGCCUGGUCCACCUCGAGUGACUCCUCAAGGUGCUUGUCCAUCACCUGUCGCAGCCCAGCCGUAUAGACCCCUCCCCCACCCCGUGUCUGAUUCGUCAGAGAAUCCCCCUGGAGAAGCUCAGGCAUCUUGAGGAUACACGCGCUGAAGGAUUCUCUUAGAAGCUGCAGUCCCACGCGUCCCUUAUUUGAAGAUUACAGGAAGGCGGAAAAGCCUGUGGAAUUUUCGAGAACUGAAGUUUUCAGUCUUCAAGUGUCCUGCUUGCUCCCUUUCUAUCUACGCUUCACAGUGACAUGACUCCGCUCUAUGAUACAAGCAUCUGAAUCAGCG
rnacentral:lncRNA from 1 species